GUCACUACUUUUACUUGACUUCCAUCUUGUAAUACUCUUAGAUAGAAGUGGUUGUCAAAGCGUGUGGUAUUAGUGAUGGCAAAACUGAAAAAAGACACAAAAGAGCCUCUCACAUUCCAAAGAGAAGUGUCUCUGCUGUUAAAAAAAGGCAUUUGACCAGAAUUUAACCUGCAUAAUUUCAUAAAAAAGGUCUUUUCAUUUGGAUAUUUUCAGGUUUUUGAGCAACUGCUAUCGUACAACAGUCCUUCAAAUUGUUGACCUUUUGUAACCCUUGUGGUAGGAAAAAAUAUCUAAUUUUGAUAGCAGUGGUUUGAACUAAUGGAUGUGAGGAUGUACCACAAGGAAAGAGAGACAGCUUAGUGAAAUAUUUUUCUGAUUUGUCGACUGUUUUAAAAAGUAAAGGAUGGAUUCUGUGAAAAAGAGCAGCUCUGAUGCCAGCAUUAACUUCAUAUAGCAACAUAAAGAAAGGUCUGAAAGCAGAGCUCUCUUAGAGAAGCCAGAAGUUAAAUUUGGUGCUGGCUAACAAGGUGCUUCUUCGCUCGCUCUCAGGUUAAUUUUAGUGCUGCAUCUCUCAGCGGGAGUUUGCAUGGCACUGAUACAAACUGCUUUGACUUAGAUCAAGCUGCUUUGAAGUUUGAAAGCAAAUUAAGCCCUUUCGCUCGCUCAAACUUAGAGAGAGCCAGUUCUUCUGCAGGCUUAAAACAUCGAUCACACUCAGCCCCCCGUCCUCCUCGCUCCCUAAACUUGUUCUGCACUCCUGAAUCUGUCCCUACAUGCUGUCAGAUAUCAACUUGCAGAUUAUUAUUUUUGUUUGAAUUUGCUUGUACGGCCUCCACAGCUUUUAUAAUAAACUUCAGAAGACUGAACUCAGUGCGUAUAUUCGAAAAUGCGUUCAUGACUGUGUGUUUUCUCGCUGCCUCAUGCCAGAAUCAAAGGAGUUGGUAGUAAUUGAAGGUCUAAUGAGUGUAACAGAAAGGCUAUUAGGCCCUCAGUCAUGACUUACUGUUUGUGUGUGUCUGUAUGUGUGUGUGUAAAUCCUUUUAAUCAACAGUCCACAAUAAUGAGGCUUCAGCUUUGACAUGUAACAAAACCUUUGAUUCAAGAAUUACAUCCACAAUUAAGGCAUUAAUAGCAGAGUGGGACAGAAAGGGACUUGAUCAGCCUUCUAAAGGUACAGUCAAUGCUCAAUGGGCUUUCUAUAUAACUGUUUCUCUAGUCUGCUGACCACUAAAAGAGCUUUUGUACUGAAAACAUUCACACACCAACAGGGGGCAGAUCAGAGACAAGUAUCUUGGGCGCUACAGCAUGGGGUCAGCAGGACUCCUUCUACUUCUGGACCACAGCAAGAUGUAAACAUGGAUCACCCACUUCAUAACACCUUAAAAGGAUAUUCCAGCGUACAAUCAAGUUAUGGUCAAACACACUGUAACACUGAGUUAGACACCCCCUCGAGAGAUGUAUGUUGCCGACUGCUAGCUUCUCUAGUUAUAACAACUUCAGCAACGACCACACGAUAGCAAUACACAGCCGAACUUCAACCAAACCAAAAAGCCACUCUCUAGCCACAGAUAAUACUCAGAACAGCACGUAACUUCAUCAAAAUAUAGAGUGCCAGCCAUAGUGCUAACCAUCAAACAUCUUUUUAGCUUCGCCUGGUUUCUUUAGCUAAGAGACCAAACACAACUCACCCACUCUCCUCCAGCAGCUGCUUGUUUGUGGGGAAGCCCUGACGAGUCGAUCACAGAGUGCAGUAGAGUUUCACAGCUCAAGGAAGAACAUUUAUGCACAUUACUUCAUGGAAAUGCAAUCAGACUGAGACACUAAGGCAGAAGAACUACCGCGUCUGCAGGACAAAAUGAUUAUUAUGAAGAUAAUUAUGGAAAUGAUCCUCUGCACUCUGUGAUCGACUGGUCUAGACCAUGCCCUGCGUAUAAUCAUUUACAAAGACCCAACAUAUUGACAUAGAUGAAACUGAGUCUCAUUCAGUGAGUGUAGACUCACUAUUACCCGGUCUUGAGCCACCAUGAGCAAAAACUUUGCAGCAUUUAUCAAGUAAUAGUGGAGAGGAAGAACUUCCUUUUAACAGGCAGAAACCUUGAGCACAACCAGACUCAUAGUAGACACUCAUCUGCUGAGAUUGAGCUGGGAUGGGACAAAUAGUAACAGCAACAGUCUCAUACAGACUCAUAAGUACAUUUGUAGUACUAUAAUGGUAACAAUAUGUUAAGUAGUUAAUGUGUGGCUGUAAAAGUCGGCAGUAUCUUCACAUUAUGAUAAUUGAUAACGAAGGUAGGCAUGAUAAAGAAGACUCCUAACUCAUUCUUCAGUUUGCACACAUUACAGCAUCAUUUUACUGAAUACAUCCACAUGCACCAAAUGUUUAACAACACACAGCUAAAAUUAAAUCCAGACCUACACCAAUUUGGGCAAUACUUGUUCAGCAACCUGUUCAAAUUACUUAUUGCUUUCCUGUUUUUUUUAAAAGAAGUCCAUGCCAGCUGGGAAUAUUUCACUCUAUAUGAGUAAAUAAAUUUGGCAGCUGUUGUUUUAAAGAUGCAGCUUGAGUUCAGUCUGUUUUUUUUUUUGUUUUUUUUAAGUUUUUCUAUUAACUCACGCUCACUCCCUCCGGCGCACACACACACACACACACUCCACCUCCAGAGAGAGAGUGAAACCAAGCAACCCUCCUUUGUAUUGGACAGUGGGUAACUUAUAAGCUGUACUGACAGAAUGACAACACUUUAUUUAACAGACUGCUGGCUGUAGCUUGGAGAUAUAUGGCAUCCUGAGCAUCAGAUAAUGAUUUCUACCUCUAGAAAAUGGAUGUAUUGCAUUCUGGAAAUGAACCAACUGCUUGCGUUUGCUUUCCCUCUCUUCCCCCUGUGUGUUGUCUAUUGAUUAAUUAAUAGUGAGUGAUCCUUCAUCUUUAAGGACUGUAAUUACACUGGGGAGCAAUACAAGGACAGGGGGGUCGCUGUCAUACACAUGCACUCAUUCAAACACACCUCAGGGAGUGGAUGUAACUUACUGAGUCUGUGUUUGUGUGUGUGUGUUUGCCUCUCGACAGAGCCCAUUUACUCCUGCAGAUGACCCAACCGUAGUCACCAUAUGCCGUUAUAGGCGGCUGAAUGGGAUCCUGGAUCAUCCCCCUGAGCUCACACAAGCUCCUCUGCAUGCAGAGCAAAUUAACUUUAUCCCAACACAGCUAAUCCGCCAUGGAAUUAGGAUUUUAGCCCUCUCAUCUCCACUGAACAGGAUUGGGUGGUGAUGCCAUGUGGGCAUCCCUGCGGAGGUGUUACUGGCCGUAGCAGGUCACACUGUGUGCAUGUUCCGCCCGAGUCUAUCCAAUGAGGAUGAAAAGAGAUGAGGGGGUGAUUAGAUCAAUCAAAACUAGAAAAGCACUCGGAGAGCGGAGACCUCCGCCAAGCAGCUCAUGUCCCCCCUUAAACAAGAAAUGCCCUGACCGGGAUUCUAACCCAGGACCUUCUGGUUGUGAGGCAACAGUGCUAACCACUACACCACUAUGCCACCUAUCCACACCACUGUGCCGCCCAUUGGUUAUCUUUCAGCAUUGAAAAUUCCAAUGACACCCUUAUUUUUGAGUGUUCUGGAUCACAGUAUCCAGAAUUUUGUCCGGAUCCUCCUGGGUCUGAGACGCACCUCUGGUGAAAAUUUCAGGUCAAUCCAUGUGUUACUUUCUCCAUAAAGUUGCUAACAGACAAACAAACAAACCAACACUACCGAAAACAUAACCUCCUUGGCGGAGGUAGCUAUUGUGCAAGAUGUCUCAACAGUUUGCGAGUUUGUGUCCAUUGUUAACAAAUGACUAAAAUACCAUAAAACAUAAACUGAACCCAUGCUUCUAUAUUAUUUUCGUGAUGUUUAUCGAGUCUUUCAGGGUUGCAGAUAAGAGACCCAUCCCCAUUCCAUAUGUCACUUACCAUGGCAUAGAUUCAUUUUGCCUUCAACCUGAUGCUCUUGCAGGACACUUUGAGAUGCUGUGUCUACAUGCUGUGUAUCUACUUGCAUGUUCAUUGCUAGCUUACUUCCAUCACUGUCGGGUAGCCUUGUCUCUUUGAUGCUAUACUAUGAAAAAAGAGAGUAUAAGAGCUUUGGCUUUUGAAUUGUGGCUGGCAUUAGAUUGAGGUUUUAAUCAACUCCAA